UGGGGAAUCUUGGACAAUGGGCGCAAGCCUGAUCCAGCCAUGCCGCGUGGAUGAUGAAGGCCUUAGGGUUGUAAAAUCCUUUCGCCGAGGACGAUAAUGACGGUACUCGGAGAAGAAGCUCCGGCUAACUUCGUGCCAGCAGCCGCGGUAAUACGAAGGGGGCUAGCGUUGUUCGGAUUUACUGGGCGUAAAGCGCGUGUAGGCGGGUCGUUAAGUUGGGGGUGAAAUCCCGAGGCUCAACCUCGGAACUGCCUUCAAAACUGGCGACCUGGACCUAAGUAGAGGCAAGUGGAAUUGCGAGUGUAGAGGUGAAAUUCGUAGAUAUUCGCAGGAACACCAGUGGCGAAGGCGACUUGCUGGACUUAUGGUGACGCUGAGACGCGAAAGCGUGGGGAGCAAACAGGAUUAGAUACCCCUGUAGUCCCUGAGCGGGCUGGCAAGGCGC
rnacentral:rRNA from 1 species